UAUAAGAAAUGGCUAACAGAUAACAUCUGGUGAUAUUGUGAAGGUUUAUAAAAAUAACUAUUCACAACAGGUAACAUUGUAAAGGUGUAUAAAAUAACCAUUCACAACAGGUAACAUUGUAAAGGUGUAUAAAAAUAACUAUUCACAACAGGUAACAUCUGGUGACAUUGUAAAGGUUUAUAAAAAUAACUAUGCACAACAUGUAACAACUGGUGACAUUGUAAAGGUUUAUAAAAUAAUUAUUCACAACAGGUAACAUCUGGUGACAUUGUAAAGGUUUAUAAAAAUAUCCUUUUAGCAAGA